rnacentral:lncRNA from 1 species
AUAUGGACGUACGAUAGCGCCACCUAUCGGAACCAUGGCAAAAAUCGCCGUGUCAAUCUCUUGCAUUUGAUCUUCCUUCCCUUCUCCUCUACAUUACACUUGCAUGUUUUACUUUCCGCUGCUAUACUCUUCGAACUGCUUGUGUAGAGUGCCUACACUUGUUAGAAGUACUAGAUUUCUACCCUCCUAGAAAUUAGGUUAGGCUGGUAAUUUUAUCUUGACAAGUAGUCUAUUCAC